rnacentral:rRNA from 1 species
GACGAACGCUGGCGGCGCGCCUAACACAUGCAAGUCGAACGGAGCUAUAUUGAAAGCUUGCUGGAUAUAUAGCUUAGUGGCGGACGGGUGAGCAACACGUGAGCAACCUGCCUUUCAGAGUGGAAUAACGUUUGGAAAUGAACGCUAAUACCGCAUAAUGUCAGAGGACGGCAUCGUUCUUUGACCAAAGAUUUAUCGCUGAAAGAUGGGCUCGCGGCCGAUUAGGUAGUUGGUGAGAUAAUAGCCCACCAAGCCGACGAUCGGUAGCCGGACUGAGAGGUUGAACGGCCACAUUGGGACUGAGACACGGCCCAGACUCCUACGGGAGGCAGCAGUGGGGGAUAUUGCACAAUGGGGGAAACCCUGAUGCAGCGACGCCGCGUGAGGGAAGAUGGCCUUCCGGUUGUAAACCUCUGUCUUCGGGGACGAAUAAAUGACGGUACCCGAGGAGGAAGCCACGGCUAACUACGUGCCAGCCGCCGCCGUAAAAC